rnacentral:rRNA from 1 species
UACGUAGGUGGCAAGCGUUGUCCGGAAUUAUUGGGCGUAAAGCGCGCGCAGGCGGUCUUUUAAGUCUGAUGUGAAAGCCCACGGCUCAACCGUGGAGGGUCAUUGGAAACUGGGAGACUUGAGUGCAGAAGAGAAGAGUGGAAUUCCACGUGUAGCGGUGAAAUGCGUAGAGAUGUGGAGGAACACCAGUGGCGAAGGCGACUCUUUGGUCUGUAACUGACGCUGAGGCGCGAAGGCGUGGGGAGCAAACAGG